UGCCAGCAGCCGCGGUAAUACGGAGAGGGCAAGCGUUGUUCGGAAUCACUGGGCAUAAAGCGCACGCAGGCGGACUGAUUAGUCGGUUGUGAAAUCCCGGGGCUCAACCCCGGAAUAGCUUCCGAAACUGUCAGUCUGGAGGAUGAGAGGGGAGAGUGGAACUUCUGGUGGAGCGGUGAAAUGCGUAGAUAUCAGAAGGAACACCGGUGGCGAAAGCGACUCUCUGGCUCAUUUCUGACGCUCAGGUGCGCAAGCUAGGGUCGCAAACAGGAUUAGAUA
rnacentral:rRNA from 1 species